rnacentral:rRNA from 1 species
UACGAAGGAUCCAAGCGUUGUCCGGAUUUACUGGGUUUAAAGGGUGCGUAGGCGGACUAUUAAGUCAGUGGUGAAAGCUUGCAGCUUAACUGUAAAAUUGCCAUUGAAACUGAUAGUCUCGAAUAUGGUUGAGGUGGUUGGAAUGUAUCAUGUAGCGGUGAAAUGCUUAGAUAUGAUACAGAACACCGAUUGCGAAGGCAGAUCACUAAACCAUUAUUGACGCUGGGGCACGAAAGCGUGGGGAUCAAACAGG